CUGUGGAUCAGCUUUUGAAAGUCANCCACAGUAUUCUUGCGAGCAAGUUAAAGAUAUAUGGGCUGGAUGAACUGACUAUAAGGUGGAUAGAAAGCUGGCUAGAUCGUCGGGCUCAACCGGUAGGGAUCAAUGGCUCCAUGUCUAGUUG